UCUUGACACCUUUAAAUUUUAUCUUUCCACAGCUCCAAUCCCCUGUUAAGCUGUUGGUUCCCCACUGGAUGGCAGUCUCUGCAAUGUUAUUCGUUCUGGGAAGGAAGAGUCCAGCUUUAAAGCAGUGAACCGAAAUCUCAGACUGCUUUGCAGAUGAAUAUGUGCACGAAAUGUUACAGCUGCAUGAAGAGUCCUCCUCUGCAGAGUUGUCUCUCCUGGACUUUGUCAGAUACCCUGCAUCUCUGGAAGCUGAAGCCACAGAGACAUCAGAGACGUCACGAGAUGACACAACACAGUCCAGGCAUCCAAGUCAGUGGGAAAUGCAAAGAUACAACUUGCCUUCUCUAAUUCAGCUUUUCUGCUGAACCACAGCCACCAACAAAAUCAAAUGUUCCAGGCAGGAGAGUAUAAAUGUGUGUGGACAGCAGAGAUAGGGAAAUCCUGUCACAGUCAUUUGGCCUUGAGUUCCCUUGCAUAAUCCUUCUGGCAUAGCUUGGCAGGCAGCAGCACAGGCCAGGUCCAGGUUGAAAAGAGACACUACUGGAAUACCUGCUCAAGUCAUCACUGAGAAACCUGGAAAAUUAAACCAACCUUUCUGAUGCUAUGAGCUAAUCUGCUCUGCUUGCAAUUAUAAGUCACUUGUUUUUUUCCAAAGUUGUUGUAUUAAAUGGAGACAAAGCCCAUAGAGGCAGGUCAAAGAUGCAGCUAUGAUAGGCUUCAAUGUGUAUCCCAGUAGACAAUUGUAAAUCCAAGUGCCUUACUUGGUCUUCUCUAGUAUGUUCCCAGUUGCCUCUUCUUUAACAUAUUCUGGGUUUUUUUCAGCUCUUAGCUUAGAGUAGCUGCAGCACAGGGGACUUACUCUACAAGAAAUGCCUGUACAAAUUUAUUUUUGCAAGAGGCAUAGAUUAGUUAUAUCUUCAUGAUGAGUGACUUGACUUUUUUAGGUGUGAUUUUUUACAUGCUGGUGCUGAAAUUGUU
rnacentral:lncRNA from 12 species